UGGCGAACGGGUGAGUAACACGUGAGUAACCUGCCCUUGACUCUGGGAUAAGCCUGGGAAACUGGGUCUAAUACUGGAUAUGACCUCUUGCCGCAUGGUGGGAGGUGGAAAGAUUUAUUGGUCUUGGAUGGACUCGCGGCCUAUCAGCUUGUUGGUGAGGUAAUGGCUCACCAAGGCGACGACGGGUAGCCGGCCUGAGAGGGUGACCGGCCACACUGGGACUGAGACACGGCCCAGACUCCUACGGGAGGCAGCAGUGGGGAAUAUUGCACAAUGGGCGCAAGCCUGAUGCAGCGACGCCGCGUGAGGGAUGACGGCCUUCGGGUUGUAAACCUCUUUCAGUAGGGAAGAAGCGAAAGUGACGGUACCUGCAGAAGAAGCGCCGGCUAACUACGUGCCAGCAGCCGCGGUAAUACGUAGGGCGCGAGCGUUAUCCGGAAUUAUUGGGCGUAAAGAGCUCGUAGGCGGUUUGUCGCGUCUGCCGUGAAAGUCCGGGGCUUAACUCCGGAUCUGCGGUGGGUACGGGCAGACUAGAGUGCAGUAGGGGAGACUGGAAUUCCUGGUGUAGCGGUGAAAUGCGCAGAUAUCAGGAGGAACACCGAUGGCGAAGGCAGGUCUCUGGGCUGUAACUGACGCUGAGGAGCGAAAGCAUGGGGAGCGAACAGGAUUAGAUACCCUGGUAGUCCAUGCCGUAAACGUUGGGCACUAGGUGUGGGGGACAUUCCACGUUUUCCGCGCCGUAGCUAACGCAUUAAGUGCCCCGCCUGGGGAGUACGGCCGCAAGGCUAAAACUCAAAGGAAUUGACGGGGGCCCGCACAAGCGGCGGAGCAUGCGGAUUAAUUCGAUGCAACGCGAAGAACCUUAUCAAGGCUUGACA
rnacentral:rRNA from 1 species